AGUGAACGCUGGCGGUAGGCCUAACACAUGCAAGUCGGACGGCAGCACAGUAAGAGCUUGCUCUUACGGGUGGCGAGUGGCGGACGGGUAAGGAAUACAUCGGAAUCUACUUUUUCGUGGGGGAUAACGUAGGGAAACUUACGCUAAUACCGCAUACGACCUACGGGUGAAAGCAGGGGAUCUUCGGACCUUGCGCGAUUGAAUGAGCCGAUGUCGGAUUAGCUAGUUGGCGGGGUAAAGGCCCACCAAGGCGACGAUCCGUAGCUGGUCUGAGAGGAUGAUCAGCCACACUGGAACUGAGACACGGUCCAGACUCCUACGGGAGGCAGCAGUGGGGAAUAUUGGACAAUGGGCGCAAGCCUGAUCCAGCCAUACCGCGUGGGUGAAGAAGGCCUUCGGGUUGUAAAGCCCUUUUGUUGGGAAAGAAAAGCAGCAGGUUAAUACCCCGCUGUUCUGACGGUACCCAAAGAAUAAGCACCGGCUAACUUCGUGC
rnacentral:rRNA from 1 species